ACUACGGGUGGCAGCAGUGGGGGAUAUUGCACAAUGGGGGGAACCCUGAUGCAGCGACGCCGCGUGGGUGAAGAAGCGCCUCGGCGCGUAAAGCCCUGUCAGCAGGGAAGAAAAUGACGGUACCUGAAGAAGAAGCCCCGGCUAACUACGUGCCAGCAGCCGCGGUAAUACGUAGGGGGCAAGCGUUAUCCGGAUUUACUGGGUGUAAAGGGGGCGCAGACGGCGAUGCAAGCCAGGAGUGAAAGCCCGGGGCCCAACCCCGGGACUGCUCUUGGAACUGCGUGGCGGGAGUGCAGGAGGGGCAGGCGGAAUUCCUGGUGUAGCGGUGAAAUGCGUAGAUAUCAGGAGGAACACCGGUGGCGAAGGCGGCCUGCUGGACUGCAACUGACGUUGAGGCCCGAAAGCGUGGGGAGCAAACAGGAUUAGAUACCCCAGUAGUC
rnacentral:rRNA from 1 species